AGAUUGUUAAAAGAUUUGUACUUUUAAAAGUGCCACAUAUUGAUGACUAUCCAGCCAUAAUCCAACGUGGGAAGCAUUGCCAUAGCGGAAGCCAAAGGUCAGGAACUAUGCUAUCUUAAACAAAGGUACCGGUCGCACGUUUCUUGUCAAAGCAAAGGAUUUAUGAGUGGGAGUGAGUCAUGUGAGUAACAGUUUACUGGAGAACAACAAAACGUUCUUUUGAGCGUAAAAUAAAAUUGAUGUAACGCCCUGAG